AAUGGUAAAAGAGAAUAUUGUAAAUGAUGAUGAAGAUUCUGAGCCAUCAGUAUGUGAGAGAAAUGGCAUGAUUCCCAUGCAUGAGCAAAGUGAAGAGGGACGACCAACAGUAGGUGCCAAAGGUACUGAUGGGAAUAUACAAACAGAAGAAACUGCUCUCUUGAAUCGUGCUCAGCAACUUCCAGAACCAGUAGCAGGGUCUUCAAUACCUGCAAGAACAUGGAGACAGAUAUUUACUUGUCCUCCUCAAGGUUUACUGGCCCAAACAGUGACAAAUGUUGUAAUCGUGAUCCUGGUUUGGGCUGUGGUUUGGUCCAUCACUGGGACUGAGUGUCUCCCAGGUGGAAAUCUGUUUGGAAUUCUCUUUCUUUAUUUUUUUGCUGUCAUUGGAGGUAAAAUUUUUGGAUUCAUUAAAAUACGGACAUUACCCCCUCUCCCUGCUCUUCUGGGGAUGCUACUUGCUGGUUUCCUCAUCCGAAAUACCCCGUUCAUUAGUGACAUUGUCCAGAUAAACCUGCGCUGGUCUGCUGCACUGAGGAAUAUUGCUCUGUCAAUUAUCUUGACCCGAGCAGGACUUGGCCUGGAUCCAAAGGCUCUUAAGAAGCUCAAAGCAGUCUGUUUACGGCUUUCUUUUGGACCGUGCAUCUCAGAAACAUGCACAGCUGCUGUUCUUGCCUACUUGUUCAUGCAUUUGCCAUGGCAAUGGGGAUUUAUAUUGGGUUUUGUUCUAGGUGCAGUCUCCCCUGCUGUGGUGGUUCCCUCAAUGCUGAUUUUACAAGCUGGGGGAUAUGGGGUGGAGAAAGGUGUCCCAACUUUGCUAAUGGCAGCUGGCAGCAUUGAUGACAUUAUGGCUAUCACAGGCUUCAACACUUGCCUUGGGAUGGCUUUCUCUUCCGGUUCUACUCUGUACAAUGUGCUCCGUGGAGUGCUGGAGGUUGCUGUUGGCAUAGCAGCUGGGGGGAUUCUGGGAAUGUUUGUUAGAUAUUUCCCAAGCCAUGAUCAGGCAUCUCUGGCAUGGAAGAGAUCAUAUUUUGUACUUGGACUGUCCAUGUUUGCUGUUUUUGGCAGCAUCUACUUUGGCUUCCCUGGAUCAGGAGGGCUCUGCACAUUAGUCUUAGCUUUUGUUGCAGGUGUGGGAUGGUCUGAUGAAAAGAGAGAAGUAGAAAAAAUUGUUGCAGUUGCAUGGAAUAUCUUUCAACCUUUUCUUUUUGGUUUAAUUGGAGCAGAAGUAUCUGUUAAGUCUCUUAGGCCUGAAACUGUUGGGCUCUGUGUUGCUACAUUAAGCAUUGCCCUAGUUGUGCGAAUCAUAGCAACGUUCCUGAUGGUGUGUUUUGCUGGGUUUAAUUUCAAGGAGAAAGUAUUUGUCUCAUUGGCAUGGAUUCCCAAAGCCACUGUCCAGGCUGCAAUAGGUUCCCUCGCCCUGGAUACAGCGAGAAGUCAUCAGGAUGAGCAACUGGAAAAGUAUGGAAUGGAUGUGCUGACAGUAGCUUUCUUAGCAAUCUUGAUCACUGCUCCAAUUGGAGCUCUGGUUAUUGGCUUGGCAGGGCCCAGACUUCUGCAGAAGGCUCAGACAAAUAGCAAGGAGGAUGAGGAAGGUGCUGAGGUUGGCGAAGAGGCAGAUGCCUGUGAACCUUCGUAAGGCAGACGUCUACAGGAAUGUGGUGCUUCAAUCCUUACACUUCUGUUGAGUAAACACGGCAAGUCUGUAAUCUUUCUGGAGGAAACCCAAAUGAGUAUGUUACAUCUGCUAUUUUAAAAGCAGCCCCGGUGGAGUUUUAUAAAAUAUUUGUAUAUGUUGAUGGUGCCUUAAGAGAUGCAAUAGCUGAACAUACAGUAAAUAGGCUGGCCAGGCGGUGAGUCACUGGGAAGUCAGCAGUCAACAGUUACUUGAAAUAUGUGGGUGUGAGGCCAGGGAGAGGAUCAGAAUUGUUCAGGCAUGGAGUGGAGUCAUGAGGUGGAUUAUAAACAGAAGAAAACGGAGACUAAUGUGAAUAACUUCUUGAUGGCUGAAACUGGGCCAUGAGAUGACAAGUUCAGCAGCUCAAAGAAUGCAACUUCUGAGUAAGAGACUGCUGACACAAUGAAUGAGUCCUGCCGUGGGUUGGCGAUUCUCUCUCCUUCAUUUGGGUUCCAAAACUUGCCUUUUCCUAUUGCUGCUCUUCCUCACAGCUCAUGCACUCCUUUGUGCCUUCACAGGACUGUCAGCUCUGGUUGUAGCAAGAAACAGCAAGUGGCACUUAUGUGCUGAGACAGUUGGGCCCAUCACGGACUGUGGUAGCGCAGGUGUUGCUAGUGCUGGUAGAAAAAAGGACUGAGCUUGAAAAUGGUGUAAGGGUUGUGGAAGGCUGUAAGGACUGGGCAAGGGUUGUAUGGGAUUGGGAUGGCUGCUUCUGAACCUGUGUACCUCAGCCUUCGCACAACAUGAUGUCAAGGGAGGGAAAGCCAGCUCUUCAGCCACUGAGGGUGGCUAUGUUCUGGUGCUGGCCACUAGGACAGCAGGGAGAGCGCUUCUCAGGUGGAGUUUGCUGGCAGGGCAACACCACCAAGGUGGCAAUGAGGUGGCACCUAUCUUCCUCAGCUCCUUUUGGGGAACUCAGUAAUACCAGCAGACCUCUUCCUAAAUCAAGAUUCAUGGGUCAGCCACAAUCUCCUGUUGCUUUGUCCUAAGUUAUUACACAUCAGGCUGAGAAAAUGGCAUGAUCAGGUCCUUCUCAUGUCUGCAUUUGGGUAACUGCAGCAAAGAAAACCAGGUAUUUUCUAAAAAUAUAGCCAGUUAGUGCUCAUUUUUCCAAGAGGUGGCUGGCUGGAUUGAAUCUGGAGAUGGAGGCCUCUCAGAUUGCCAGGGCAUUUUUUCCCUCUGACUGAUGCAGAAAACUAAUAGACUGUAAAUGAACAGCCUUGAAAAUGCAGUGCUGAGGGAAGGUAGAAAGUGAGAGGAGCUGUAUUCCCACCUGCCUUCAGAAGGGUUGCUGUGUGAAGGCAGGUGUCAUGAGGAAGCAGUGUUUAGGACACAGUGCUGGCACCCUCAGCAUGUACCCACAGAUCCUGUGGGUCUUUCCAGAAACACAAGUUGUGUGUGGCUGUGGAUUGUGGUAGUGACUGGCAAUAACUCAUGUCUAAUAUCUUGCCAAAACAUUUCACCAGGGGGAGCAAAAAGCUCAAAUGUGGUUUUCAUGUUAUUUAAUAUAGAUGCCUCCUGCACAGUCAGUUGCAAUAUAGUUCACAUUUGAUUCUGCCAUUCCCAGAGGAGUUUCCUUUCUCUUCUCCUUGACUGUCCUAAAGCCAGGAGUAAACCUCUCUGUUGAUCAAAAUUCUGCUCUUGCCUUUAGCUUUGGUAUCAGUUAGGGUUUAGUAUUGACAGAUACCAUAAAAUCUUUCUUACUCUGACACGUUUUGUACAAGUAACUAGCUCCAAGUAGGUCAUUCCCAGCUCCUUUCUCAGGCAUAGAGUCAGUACAGCAUCCCUCAGAAACUGGAAGUUUUAUUUUGUUACUUUUUAGUAUGUUAGAUGGUGCCUGUAAUCAAGGUGGACAACCCCUCCCUGUAGAUUUCUACAUUGCAGUUCACUGAACUCAUUUUACAGGAUACUGUAUAGAAUAGAUUUGUUGAGUCUAGCUAUUUGGGGCAUUAAGUAAGAAUUAAUCAAUUCUCUUUUAGGUUUUACACUUUUAAUAUGUAACACAAGAAUGUACUGAAAUAUUUUUAAAAGAAAACUAUCUGAAACUGUACUAUUUGCAGAAUGUCCACAUAGGGCUCUGUAUGCAGAUUAAUUACAUCUCAGUAUGGGUGGCUUUUAUAUGCCUUCCUUUCCAAGUCAAAAAGAAAGCUUCCUGAGAAAUAUUUAAGGUUCAUAGCCUGCAGUUCCAGCACAGUGAUAAAAAUACCAAGAAAUUCUUUGGUGAGUUUUCCCUUAACAUUGACAUUUUUCUUACUAUACAUACUGCUGUUCUCUCCACUUCCUCGGGGAAUGUGCAGUUCAUGUUUGUCCCCUGACGAGAAGGGAAGAUGCUUUCACACUGUGCACUGAUGGAUGGUUAGGGUCCUGUGCUUGAUGGAUAUUGUGUCAGCCACUGACCUCUGUGGCUGUUCUGCCUACUUUGCAUGGCUAACAGAGGCACUCUGUUACUUAAAUGGGCUAGUGUUAAUAUUGUAUUUGGAAAUUAUUGUUAUUUGAAAGUUACUGUAUUUGGAAAUUGUAACGUCUGUAAACCUCACUGCUAAGAUGAGGGAAUAUGAUGUUCAAUUUAUUACAGGCUACUGUCUGUAAUUCUACUCGAGUAAAACUUACAGGAGUAGAAGCUUUAUGAAGUUCACUUUUUCAUUAAGUUUUAUAAAAAGUAAAAUCCUCUUGCAGGGAGGAAUCACAGUGCCAAAUUUGGUGUCUGUUCAAUAACAGAAGCGUGAUAUGGAAGGAUUAUAGCCCUUUAACUUUGAACACAACCCCUGACAAACAGCCCUUGCUCAUGAUAGCCUCUAAUACUUGCUCACCAUCAUAACAGUAUCUUAUAAAUUGGAUUUAUCAUGUUCCCUUAACCUCAGCACACUCUCAAUUUAUUCAUUAGAUCACUCCCACCACUGAGUGUUUGAAUAGCUAUACCAGUGAAAAGCGUCAUCUUGUUCACUAAUCUAAACGAAAUUGAAUCAAUUUGCCUUUCCUUACCACCAUAUGUGGAUGUUUCUCACAAGAUCCCUUUCCUCCAGCUUUUAUUAAAUCUUCUAAAAGAAUCAGGUUGAAGCUAUUACACAGACCUGCAGAUCUAAAAUGAAAGGCAUUAAUGUUUAUAAUGCACCUUUCCUUGCCUUCCAGAAAGGACCAAAAUGCAGCUUGAAAAUACACAACUGAAAUGACAGUCAUGAAAAUGUUAUCCUGGAGCUAAAAACCUAGGAGACUUGGGUUUUUUAAUAAAUAUCAUUACAAUUUCAGCUGAUUUUAAAUAGCAGUUAACUUUGAGAGAUAUGAUUCCACUUUUUACACUUUUUAUCAGUUUGGAUGGGUGAAGUCAUGACACUUAAGAACACCUCCCUUUUAACAAAAUGCCGUGAAAUCAUUCAUCAAUAAUGCAUAAAUUCAAGCCAAUAAAAUCUUUAUGCCAUGUCAGUCUUUUAUUUGCAGGAAAUAAAAUUAGAGCCCAACAUGCAGUACACUGUAACCAGAGGAGUCCUGCUGUCACACAGACAUGAUCACAGCAUAAUGGGGGAGAGUAUUAAGCACAGUGUGUGUGCACUGUUCCAGAAGGUUUGCAAGAACCUCUGCAGCAGAAAGCUCUGACGGCACAGCACGUUCCUGGUGGCUAGCAGCGGGCAGAGUUACAGAAGGCAGCAUAUGGGAAAACAAAGAAAUGGGCCAUCUGGAAGCAGGGAGUUGCACAGGCCAGGGGAUGCAGGGAGCUCUGUUUGCUCAGGGAUUUGUCUGAGUUUCUACAGUUUCUACAAUACACAGAAAAAGAAGAGAGUCCUGAGAUCAGCUGAUAACUCAGAAUUCAGCAAUUACAUUGACUCUGGAGAUUCUUUACCAGUUCUGCUGCAUGGGAAGAGACAGUCUCUGGAGCCAGAAACAAACAGUAGAGUAUCGAACAGGUUAGUCUUCAAACUUGACUUGUGUUAGACAGAGACCAAUCCCAAAGAUAUGUCCUGGAAAGUAUCGGGAACAUCACUGAAACAGGAAUGCCCAGAGAAUUUCAAGAAGCUGAGGCCACAGACCAUAGGCCACAAUUAUAUUUUCAAGGAGAGGCUGUCUUAAUGUUUAGUCCCACAGUAACAAGUCAAAAAAAAAUAAGAAACAGAUACACUGUCAUCAGAAAGAGACUGGCCAGCUACUGAGAGUCAAGUCAAAGCAAGUGAUACCUGCUUGUCUUUCACCAGCUACUCUUUUGAUAUCUUUCACUUUAUAUUUUAGCUAAUUUAUGUAGAAAUGACUCUAUGCAGACCCAAAAGCAGCUUCUUACAGUAAGAGCUCUACUGAAAGCCAAAAUUUUAAUAAGUAUCAGCUAUCAGUCAAAAACAAAGGUUGGAACUGUGACUGUAUAUUCUCUAAACUGAUGAAGUUCUUCAUGCAAAUUCAAAUUACUUAAUUCCAUUCUCUUCAGCACUGAGCUCUAUCUUAACUGUUGGCUGUUGUUUGCCUGAGUCUCUUAAGGGUGUUCUCAUCCCUACACAAACACAAAGGACUCCACAUGACACUUCAAUGUCUAUUAGCUUAUGAGGGUAGAGAGGUGACGGUGCUUUUAGCAACACAGCACACCUUGUAUAAAUUAAAAGCCAAACCUACAGGUAGGUUAGCAAGCCACUCUGCAAAUGACAAAUUCAUGGUUCAAGUCAGUACUGAAGACUGUUAUCAUGGUAUCACCCUUCUUUUCCUCAGUACUGUAAAAGAUGAUCCACAAAACUGUCCUCUUCCUGCCUGGCAGCACAGUCCAUUAAAGUCCUUCUUAACAUGCAGGCCAAAUGUAAAACAGGACUGUGUCAUGUUUAUGGAAAGAAGCCUAGCACUUAGAUAAACCCUGAAAUGUGUUGAAAUGUGUUUAGCACAUAAACCCUGAAAUUCUCAACACAUGUGAUUUUGAAGUGAAUGUCUAUGCCAUUGUAAUGACAUACCAGGAUAAAAAGCAACACCAGCAUGAGAAAACACUACUCAUUUCAACGAACUUGAGAAGGGAAAAGUAAAGCAGCUAUGACAAGACACUGAGAGAGGCUUCAGAGCAGUAGCAGCAUGACAACUUAGAUAUCCACUUUCAAGCCCAAGGUCAAACAUUCUUUCCUUCCUCCCUCAUUGCUUUUACCUUCAGGAUUUUUGCACUGGUAACAGUCUUACUCUCUCCAAGCAAGCAGUCUUCCAUUGUGAUUUGAGGUCACGACAGAGAGCAGGGUCUCAAGAGUUUUAAUCAGCACACUAUACAAAAGGAUCCUUCCUAUACUCCUGGUCUGCUGUUUCUACAGCUGAUGCACUACAGGAACUGAAGUUGCAUCUGCCUGGACACUAAUGAAGGUUUACCAGAGCAAUGAAAGAGCUAGUAAGCAAAGGACUUCACUGUUCCAGAUUUGGGAUCUGCCUUGCCUUCGUGAACAAAGUAUAUGCUAGCAAGUGUUUUAUAGUGCUGGUCCCUGACUAAAUUCAGUAGCUGUCACCAAAGGUCAAAUACUAAUGAACUUGAAGUGUUUUAAGAUCAAUAUUAUUUCUCACUUUCCAAAAAGAAGCAAAGAAAUAUGUUUCACAUAUUUGAUAUGUCAUUUGCCAAAGAAUAUGCUGCUCUGUAAUUUGUAGGAGUAAUAAACACAAGAGAAUAUUAAUCUAAUCUUCUCUAUUGUCUAAUAGUCUUUCACUAACACUAAUUCAAUAGAUAUGAUCCUGUAAAUUGCUGCUGCAAAAGAACUCCCAGAAUUGGGAAUCCCUUGCUUUUAGAGGCUUAUGACUUUAGGACAGGACAGACUAAGUCCACAACAAUACAGAAGAGGCGGCACUUGCUGAAACAAGCUGGUUUUCUCAGAUGAGACUUUAGACAGACAGCACUCUGAGCGCAGAUAAGUACAAGACUCUUCAGUGAGCAAUGAGGUUUCAAUGACUUUCAGUAACUUUUAAGCACUGAGAGGAUCAUUUUUUAAUUUAUGUGCCUAAAAUGUGGUGUCCUAUGAUUUCCUUUUGAAAACCCUCACCAUGUUGCGUUUACCCUAUACCAUAACUUUAAGUCCCUUGUACACUAUUGCUGUUUUUUUCUCCAUUUUCAUUCAUGUCCACCCCAAGAGGAAGAUAUAUAAGCAUGACAGCAGAUAUCAGUCUAGUCUAGCUGACUGUUGAAAAAAAUGACAAGUGUAAAAACAUUGUGUCUAUGGCUAUGUAUUUUAAUUAUUCCUGUUUCCCCUUCUUAGAGUGCUUAGCACAAGACCGGUCAAAGAAAUCACUAAGAUUUCAGAUAUGCUCAUUAAAUCCUACCAAGUCUCAAAGCAAUUGCUAACUCAGCUCCUUCUUUUACCUUUGUUUAAUAUUUUUGGAACUGACUUUUCACAUUUGGUCUCCACUUAAAGUUUCAGUUGUUUGCUUCUUGCCCUCCCUCCAAAUUCAAGUAAAUACCUGUCAGUGGGGUAAGGAACAUGACAGCAAACCAGUUCUACCCUACUAAUCAUUCUAUUAAAAAAAAGUUCUGACCAGAGGUUUCCAAAAUAAAUUAUAAUUGCUACUAUGUGAUGUGAAUAAAUACAGAGACUGCACAAAUAAUCCUGUUACCAGAACAGUAGUUUGGACAAGUGAAUCAAGAGAUUAAACCCAAGCAUUACUAAGCUUAUCAAAUUUUAAGUACAACUUGUGGUUAAAAGGGCAACGACUUAAGUAGGACUGCCAAAUGCUAGGAAUAUGAGAAGCUGCAUUGUUCUGUAGCUUAAUGUAUCCCAUUCCUCCCAACUUGGUAGUAGCUGAGUUCCUCUAUUUGAUAUAUAUAAUUAACAGCAUUUUCAAAUGACAGAGUAGUUGUGGAGAAAGAAGAACUGGUUUCCUUGUGGUGGGAAAGAUAACGGGACUUUACAAGCAGCAUAAACAUGCUGGAAAAGAAGUACUCAAACCUGUUUAUAAAUAAAUUGUGCUUGUUCUAAACGAAAUCAUUUUCCAGUUAUUAAAGUCAUAUACUUUAGUGCUGCAAGAUAAACACAGGUGGUUGAUUCUACACCUUGAAGGCUUUUUCUAGUUCCAGAGUUAAAGCCGGGCUGUUAGAGCGUUCCUCUUAUUUAUUAUCACCGAACUAACCUUGUCAUUUGACAUUACUUGAGAUUCUGCCUGUAUUAGCACAGCUGAGCCUGGGCUCACAUAGUUCCAGUUUGCAAAGCACUGAAAUGCACUGAACACCUAAAGAGUUUGCUAGUUACUUAGUUCUCUUGUUUGUUCUGUCAUAGGGCUAUGAUUAAUGAAUAGGUAUUUUCACUCCCUUGCCCAGAAAAUGCUUAUAAAAGUUAUUUAAUAAAACCCCUAAGCUUGUGUAUGUAGCAGGCUCCCAUAAACAGGUCUGGUUUUGUGGGUUUUCUUAAACUGUAUAGAUACUCUCUUUAGCCUUUUAAGCAAAUGAAGAGGCAAUAAUUUAAGUCUUGAGCUAAAAUCCCAUUUUCUUUACGUGCAUGGCCUCUGACUUGCUGCUACUUGCACAGAGAGGAUUUUUAAUUACAAUGCAAACGAGCUGGGGCCAAGAAGCCUGGUAGGUUUUACUCUAUCACUACAUUUUACUCUGUUAUCAUUCCUCAUACGGCAUCUUAAACGUCCUGUCGUGUAAUUUUCCUGCUGGAACAGUUUAACGGCAAUUUAAGGUUUGGGGUUCCCCCUUUCUCUAGCAGAUAACUUGCUUAGCACGGCCGGGAGAAAGCCAGCCAUGCCUGGAACGAGGGGUGGAAGUCGCAGCCCCACAUUGGACAGGCCCAAGGGAUGGGUCGGAGCCCCGGCGGGCCCCAGUGCCCAGGCACCCCUCACGCCGACCGGACAGGCCCGAGCGGGCCCUGCC